rnacentral:rRNA from 1 species
ACCCGCUGAACUUAAGCAUAUCAAUAAGCGGAGGAAAAGAAACUAACAAGGAUUCCCCUAGUAACUGCGAGUGAAGCGGGAAAAGCUCAAAUUUAAAAUCUGGUGGUCUUUGGCCGUCCGAGUUGUAAUCUAGAGAAGUGUUACCCGCGCUGGACCGUGUACAAGUCUCCUGGAAUGGAGCGUCGUAGAGGGUGAGAAUCCCGUCUUUGACACGGACUGCCAGGGCUUUGUGGUGCGCUCUCAAAGAGUCGAGUUGUUUGGGAAUGCAGCUCAAAAUGGGUGGUAAAUGCCAUCUAAAGCUAAAUAUUGGCGAGAGACCGAUAGCGAACAAGUACCGUGAGGGAAAGAUGAAAAGAACUUUGGAAAGAGAGUUAAACAGUACGUGAAAUUGCUGAAAGGGAAACGCUUGAAGUCAGUCACGCUGCGAAGAAUCAACCUUGCUUUUGCUUGGUGUACUUUUUCGUUUGCGGGUCAGCAUCAGUUUUGAUCAUUGGAUAAAGGUUAUGGGAAUGUGGCAUCUUCGGAUGUGUUAUAGCCUGUGAUUGCAUACAAUGGUUGGGACUGAGGAACUCAGCGCGCCGCAAGGCCGGGAUUCGUCCACGUUCGCGCUUAGGAUGCUGGCAUAAUGGCUUUAAUCGACCCGUCUUGAAACACGG